rnacentral:tRNA from 3 species
AGCGGGGUGGGGUAGUCAGGAGAUCCCGCGGGGCUCAUAACCCCGAGAUCGGUGGUUCAAAUCCACCCCCCGCUACCA